AAGGGCUUAUAAGGAGUUGGGCUACUCUCCCCAUUGUCAAUUGGAUGGGGGGAGUAGCCCUACUCCUUAUAAGCCCUUGCU
rnacentral:miRNA from 1 species